AUGUGCCUAGUGAAGCCGUUAUUGCUGGCGUUGAACGCGAUAAGAUUCUUCAUCAUUUUCCAUGUGGCUGAUGGAAGUUCUAAGCUGAACUGGUUGCUUGAGACGUUGAGUACCUGCAGAGGCCGGUCUGUGGUGAUCGAAGACGGCAGCUCUUGCAGCAUUCCAUUUAGCCGGUUGAAGCUGACGUCAAGGGCGAUGAUGCUGCUGGAGGACAUGAGCUCCAGCGGAAGGCCACUGGAGAAGGAGUUGUGCGAAAGGUUGACAUGCAGCAAGCCUGUGAGGUCAGCGAGAGAUGGUGAGAUGCGCCCUUCAAGUCCUUUAGAUGCCAGGGAGAUCUCAGUGACGGCCCCAUCUCCAUUGCAAGCCUGUGAGGUCGGCGAGAGAUGGCGAGAUGCGCCCUUCAAGUCCUUUAGAUGCCAGGGAGAUCUCAGUGACGGCCCCAUCUCCAUUGCAAAUGAUGCCUUCCCACUCGCAGCAGUCUGUCUCAUGGUUCCACGACGCGGCGAGGGUGCCAUCUCCCGACGUCCCAGCGAGGAACUGGAGAAGUGCUUCUCCUGCUCGGUGCAUGAGGUGGCGGGAGAGAGGCCGGAGAGUAGCAGGAACAGCUGCAGCACGGCCGGAGGAAUGGUGAAGGAACGCAUUGCUAAGAGAGAGGGCAUGGGCACUGGGCCACAGUUAAGUUGGCCCCAUGGUCCGCAGGCUGCACAAGAGACAGCGGCACUAGCACGGGAAGCAACAACCGUGGCUAUCAAUUAG
rnacentral:rRNA from 1 species